CACAGCAUCAGUCUCUCCUAGUACUGCACCAGCAGACAUUACCCCUGCCCCUGCAGAAGACACAACACCUGGAGCAGCAGUCACAACUGAGCCCACAACGGCUGAAACCCCAGAGCCAAGUUCACCUGAUGCAUCAGUCCCUCCACCUCCUGAAACAACAGCCAUUGCCACAAGUAAAUGAAGCAGAUUUAUCCUGGUUUAUGCCCUUAAUUCCCUACCAAAGCUGGGGUCUGAUGAUGUGCUGGCAAGGCUCCCUGUCUCCAUGCAUCAUCUCAUGGAAUUAAUAUUGAAAUUUAGGGAUAAUUUUUUUGGCUUCCCACAAAUCGUGGGACCUGAAUUUUUGGUAUUGAUGUGGGAGGAAUACCUGCUCUGCUGCAAGCUCUAAGGAACUGGAAUUCACUGGGGCAGACACACCACAUCAAUAUAAAUUCAGAUUUCCCCUAGAUCACCUCACCCCUACAAAGCCAGCCCCCCUGCACUUCCAAACUGCAUCCCCACUGGAAGCUGAGUCAGUGGGAACCCUUUUGACAUAUUCAUAUUCAUUUGCUUUGAACCUGAGUUUUCCACAGUGGGCUUUGUCUUUUGAAAAAACUGAAUUGCAAAUUCUGCUCACUAGUUGAUAACAUUCUGCCUCAGCUGCCCACAGAGCAGACCCAGGGUGUCUUUUAGAGUCUGGCCAUAGCAGCUACUCUGAUAAAAUGUACUUGGCUGCUUUGGUAAAACACACAAGAAACUGAACUUCAGGUGCAAAGCAGACAUUUGAACAUGGGGUUAUUGCCUCACACAGAGAGAUAAACAGAAUUAAAUCCCAUUAAUGCCAGUAAUAUGUCACUUU